ACGAACGCUGGCGGCAUGCCUAACACAUGCAAGUCGAACGAGACCUUCGGGUCUAGUGGCGCACGGGUGCGUAACGCGUGGGAACCUGCCCUUAGGUUCGGAAUAACUCCCCGAAAGGGGUGCUAAUACCGGAUAAUGUCUUCGGACCAAAGAUUUAUCGCCUUUGGAUGGGCCCGCGUUGGAUUAGCUAGUUGGUAGGGUAAAAGCCUACCAAGGCGACGAUCCAUAGCUGGUCUGAGAGGAUGAUCAGCCACACUGGGACUGAGACACGGCCCAGACUCCUACGGGAGGCAGCAGUGGGGAAUAGUGGACAAUGGGCGAAAGCCUGAUCCAGCAAUGCCGCGUGAGUGAUGAAGGCCUUAGGGUUGUAAAGCUCUUUUACCCGGGAUGAUAAUGACAGUACCGGGAGAAUAAGCGCCGGCUAACUCCGUG
rnacentral:rRNA from 1 species